rnacentral:lncRNA from 1 species
GCCGCGACAACCCAUCACACACCUAAGAACUAAUGGGGAGCUCUUCAGCCAGGACUGGGUAGCAACGCUCAGGUUUGGGUACAAAAUGCCAAUUUUGUGCUGGAAAUGGCUGUAAGUGAUUACCAGCUCCUUGUAAUCGCUUACAACAACACCAGAUCUCUGUCAAGGGUCUAGAACCUCACCACUCACCCUAGAAACACCUUUGCUUGGUCUUCCAUCCAC